rnacentral:misc_RNA from 1 species
UUUCCGUAGGUGAACCUGCGGAAGGAUCAUUACCUAGAGUUUGUGGGCUUUGCCCACUGUCUCUUACCCAUGUCUUUUGAGUACCUUCGUUUCCUCGGUGGGUUCGCCCGCCGAUUGGACAAAACUUAAACCCUUUGUAGUUGCAAUCAGCGUCUGAAAAAACUUAAUAGUUACAACUUUCAACAACGGAUCUCUUGGUUCUGGCAUCGAUGAAGAACGCAGC